CGGUCACACAUAUCCACCUCCAUGCCGAAACGACAGCCUUUUCUUUUCAAUAAACGCGUCUCUAGAUGUUCCAAGACAACAUAACUUAGCGCGGUACGGUGUCGAGACUUGUUAAAAGGUUUAUAGCACGCUUACUUAUUUAACCCCAGGGUGCCAGCGACGCACGACACCCCCUCGUGUCUUGUUUUAUAAGUGAAAUGCUCAAGCCCAGAAAUCCGAGCUCAGCCGUGUCAUCGAAAGGAUUAAAACUUGAAGCCAGCCUUGUCCUUGGAUCCUCAUACUGGGAACUGAAAGACGUCCCGAGUCCACAGGGAGUCAAACCGUAUGAGCUAUGAGCCCUUAAAGGGAAGACUACAAGAGGAACUGACACAAAUAUUCCAAAUCAUUCGAGGACAUUGACAAGUCAACCCAGCGGACUUCAGAAUCAAUGAGCCACCGAAUGUUGUUGUGGGAGUAUGGGACCAGCUACCCAGCCAUGCUGCUGAAAGUGAUAACCUGGCUUCUUUCAAGAGCUGGCUGAAGGAAAGUCUCCGAUAAUGUAGCUUGACUAAUGACCAAGUGAACUGGACAGUGCAAAUGGUUUCUAAUGGUUUUAACAAAACAGACGUUUCAGCAACCAUUACAUCAAAGUUCCUAUAAUCAGCCCUACUCAUUGUCAUUCUUCAAACAGUUAACAUUGUGCUUCUUAUAACUACAAUUACCAGCUUAGUAACUGCUCAACACUACACAGCUUUUUAAACUGAAUUUAAAAAAAACAUUCUUAAGGCAUGAAACCUCCUUUCUAAACUAGGGCAUAGUACACCACUACAAACUUCUCAAGAAACUGUCUGCAAGUAGCAAAACAUAUCAUCGUCAGUUUAACAUCUAUCAGGACAACACUUAUUCAGCAGCGAUCACCACAUAUUUCUAAACCUGUGCCCAAACAGCGAGAAAACCUCAAGUUUGCUUUAAAAUGCUACUAUGGGGCAUAGACCUUAUACACAGUGUCAGUAUGCCUCUGUAGUCUUCAUUUCAAAUAAAAGUGAAUAUUGCUAAUCCA